rnacentral:lncRNA from 1 species
UCCGUGGUCACACAGCACGAUUCCAAGAAGGCUGGAGCUGAGGUGGUAAAGCAGGUGGAGCACCCUUUGCUGAGUGGCCUCUUAUACCCCGGACUGCAGGCUUUGGAUGAAGAGUAUUUAAAAGUAGAUGCCCAAUUUGGAGGCAUUGAUCAGAGAAAGAUUUUCACCUUUGCAGAGAAGUACCUCCCUGCACUUGGCUAUUCAAAACGGGUCCAUCUGAUGAAUCCUAUGGUUCCAGGAUUAACAGGCAGCAAAAUGAGCUCUUCAGAAGAGGUAAGUUGCCAGCUGAGACUUGAAUUUAGAAAUCUUCAGCCUCAAUGGAGAGAUUGAGGACUGAAAAGAACAGUGACCUGGCUAACUAGAAUUCUCCAAUAUUUGAGUUAGAAGGAGCCUUACACCAUUCAAUUAGUUUAGUGGUUCUUGAGUAUCAAAGGAUCCAGAGCAGUCCUGAUGAGAUCUAAUCAUAACUUAAUGGUUUUUGCUGCUGAUAAAAAAAUAAAAGCAAAAGUAAUGUCUUUGUUCAUACGACUGUGAUGAAAUUCAGCCUUAUUAAUGAGAGCACUAUGGUUGCAUUUCACUAAUUAGCAUUUUGAUUCCUAGGGUAAUACUUGAUAUCACUAAUAUUAUGAUAUCUUUUAAUAUUUAAGAGUCCCUCUUGAGCUCGUGUACUUGAGGGAAAGUUCACUUUGGUUCUGAUCAUUAGAACGUGGAAAUCCAAAGAUGUGAAAGGUUGAGUUCUGGGUUCCCAAACAUGGCUUACCUUCAGAAUCAUCUAGGGAAUU